UUAAUUUGACUCUUGUUUUCUCAUUUCUUUGUGCAGGGAGAAGGUUAAUUAGUACUCCUAGUAAUAAAGGAUAUGAAUAUAAUCAUGGGUUACAUAGCUUACAUCAGGAAAAAUUUGCAGAGUUGAGCAAGAGCAUUGAUGAAGGAGAAGCCAAGAAUGGGUCAGGUAAUGUGAAGAGAGAAUUAUCUAGAGUGAGAAAGGAAGCCCACCAUUGGCUACCAAGAAUCCAUGAAGAUUACUAUGGUCCAAGAAUGCACAGACCUAAGCACCACUGACUUCUUACACCAAAACAUUUUGAUUAAAAAAAAGCCAAUAAAUAUUUGUAGCCAUUGUACUUUCACAGUUAAUUGAUUUAUUUGAUGACUCAAAAAUUCUUACUUAUAAGAAUGGGUGAGGAAAUUGUUUUA